rnacentral:rRNA from 1 species
CCCUUAGAUGUUCUGGGCGGCCCGCGCACUACAUUGGCACUGUCAGCAAGGGUCUGAAACUAAAACUUUUGGGUAUUCUGAGAACCGGUGUCGUGACUGGGAUUGACCCUUGCAAUUAUUGGUUAUGAACGAGGAAUUCCUUGUAAUCGCGGUUUAUCAGCCCGCGUUGAAUGCGUCCCUGCCCUUUGUACACACCGCCCGUCGCUCCUACCGAUGAAUCGUCCGGUGAAGUUCAUGGAGUAGUGGUUGUUCCAUCCGCUGUCGAAGUGAAAUAAACCUCAUGAUUUAGAGGAAGGAGAANUCGUANCA